GGUGCCGGAAGAUUAAAUGAUGGGGUGCAAGCUCUUGAUUGAAGUCCCGGUAAACGGCGGCCGUAACUAUAACGGUCCUAAGGUAGCGAAAUUCCUUGUCGGGUAAGUUCCGACCUGCACGAAUGGCGUAACGAUGGCCACACUGUCUCCUCCCGAGACUCAGCGAAGUUGAAGUGUUUGUGAUGAUGCAAUCUACCCGCGGCUAGACGGAAAGACCCCAUGAACCUUUACUGUAGCUUUGCAUUGGACUUUGAACCGAUCUGUGUAGGAUAGGUGGGAGGCUAUGAAACCGGAACGCUAGUUUCGGUGGAGCCGUCCUUGAAAUACCACCCUGGUUUGUUUGAGGUUCUAACCUUGGCCCGUGAUCCGGGUCGGGGACAGUGCAUGGUAGGCAGUUUGACUGGGGCGGUCUCCUCCCAAAGCGUAACGGAGGAGUACGAAGGUACGCUAGGUACGGUCGGAAAUCGUGCUGAUAGUGCAAUGGCAUAAGCGUGCUUAACUGCGAGACCGACAAGUCGAGCAGGUGCGAAAGCAGGUCAUAGUGAUCCGGUGGUUCUGUAUGGAAGGGCCAUCGCUCAACGGAUAAAAGGUACUCUGGGGAUAACAGGCUGAUACCGCCCAAGAGUUCAUAUCGACGGCGGUGUUUGGCACCUCGAUGUCGGCUCAUCUCAUCCUGGGGCUGUAGCCGGUCCCAAGGGUAUGGCUGUUCGCCAUUUAAAGAGGUACGUGAGCUGGGUUUAAAACGUCGUGAGACAGUUUGGUCCCUAUCUGCCGUGGGCGUUGGAUAUUUGAAGGGGGCUGCUCCUAGUACGAGAGGACCGGAGUGGACGAACCUCUGGUGUACCGGUUGUCACGCCAGUGGCAUCGCCGGGUAGCUAUGUUCGGAAGAGAUAACCGCUGAAAGCAUCUAAGCGGGAAACUCGCCUUAAGAUGAGAUAUCCCUGGGGACUAGAUCCCCUUGAAGGGUCGUUCGAGACCAGGACGUUGAUAGGUCGGGUGUGUAAGCGCAGUAAUGCGUUCAGCUAACCGAUACUAAUUGCCCGUAAGGCUUGAUCCUAUAACA
rnacentral:rRNA from 1 species